rnacentral:rRNA from 1 species
GAUCCUGGCUCAGGAUGAACGCUAGCGGCAGGCUUAACACAUGCAAGUCGAGGGGCAGCGCGGGGCGGCAACGUCCUGGCGGCGACCGGCGGAAGGGUGCGUAACGCGUGAGCGACAUGCCCGUUGCCCGGGGACAACCGGUGGAAACGCCGACUAAUCCCCGAUGGGACGGAGGCCCUCAUGGGUCUCUGUUGAAAGUUACGGUGGUUUCGACGGAUUGGCUCGCGUCCGAUUAGCUAGUUGGCGGGGUAACGGCCCACCAAGG